AACGAACGCUGGCGGCAUGCCUAACACAUGCAAGUCGAACGAAGGCUUCGGCCUUAGUGGCGCACGGGUGCGUAACGCGUGGGAAUCUGCCCUUUGGUUCGGAAUAACAGCUGGAAACGGCUGCUAAUACCGGAUGAUGACGAAAGUCCAAAGAUUUAUCGCCAGAGGAUGAGCCCGCGUUGGAUUAGGUAGUUGGUGGGGUAAAGGCCUACCAAGCCGACGAUCCAUAGCUGGUCUGAGAGGAUGAUCAGCCACACUGGGACUGAGACACGGCCCAGACUCCUACGGGAGGCAGCAGUGGGAAUAUUGGACAAUGGGCGCAAGCCUGAUCCAGCAAUGCCGCGUGAGUGAUGAAGGCCCUAAGGUUGUAAAGCUCUUUUACCCGGGAAGAUAAUGACUGUACCGGGAGAAUAAGCCCCGGCUAACUCCGUG
rnacentral:rRNA from 1 species